AAAAACAAAACAGAGUCCAAUCCCGCACGCAACCUCCUCCCCGUUCCUCUCUGCCCUGCGCCGUCCCCAUCCUCUGUAGAAGGAGCACGGCUCUCGUCGAUGUGCCUGGUGGGGAUCCGGUGCAUCCCCUCUCGGCUCGCCUCCUCCUCUCCUGGGUCCCUGCGUUGCCGGCUCAGCCGCUUCUCCUGCAUCUUCUCCUCCCUGCUUCUCUCCUCCUAGUCGAGUCCUGGACCAGAUCGGCGUCCGGCGCAGGAGGCUCGGGGUGGUCGCAGGUUCGGGCGCCAUUUCCUUCCUUCCCGUACACUGGGAUCAAACAGCCCGCGGCCUGGCGGUGCCGGCCUGGAUCCGGAGGCAGAUGGACCAGAUCCUGGAGCUGGGCACGAAGGAGCUCGAGGUCGACGACUCCGGCUUCGUCCUCCUCCUCUGACGUCGCCACCUUGCUCAGGUCCAACACGUCUAUCCAUCGCCCCAGUUUUACCAUUUCGUCAUGAUUACCAUCCCACGCCAUCCAUAGGGUGUGCCUUCUGCCCUUCUCACCACUCUGAACUCGGAGCAAGUGGAAUUUGGGUUGGGGAAGUUUUUCGAGCUCGAAAUUAAACCCAGUUCUAGAAUAGUAGAUGCUGGUGCUGAGAUGGUCGGUAGGCAGUGGCACUCAUAGGUCUCCAUUGCUUCAAAUCUAUUUGGUUUUAGGUGAUUUGGCACCCAAAACUCACAACACUGUUGCUACACAUCAGUUCAGGAAUCAAGGCAAAUAGCGGUAUUUCCCUUUGGGGUGAAUGGACGAACUGAUUAUGGGAAGACCAACCAAGUAGUUUAUACAAUACUCACAAUUUCUCACACUUCCAGCGAAUUAAACUGACGAUUAUAUGUGCCUUCUCUCAUUCGUACAUUGUUUGGGGGUUUGGUUUGAGAAGUGGGUUGCAGCACUCAUGAUUUUGCUUGUUUCAGGGAUGGAAUGAAUUGGGGGUCACCAUCUAACACACACACACACAGAGGGAGAGAGAGAGGAUAAUUCUGUUUAUUACGUCAACCAUGUAGUAGAAACCAGAUAGAACUAAACAGCUAGGGUUUUGAAGUUGCCUCGGUAGCUGAAUCAUGGUCCAUGAAUUUGUGUAAAACGACAAGUGCGCUACUGAAUUAAAAUUCUACCUGUUCAUUCCAUUGCCCAGUUACCAUCUGAGAGGUUCUCUUUUGCCACCGCAACUCUAAUUAGAUUGUUAUAGUUCAGACUAAGGGGAUCAAGAUUAGUCAUCUGUUAGCUAUGUACUAUGGACCUCAACACUAGCUGAGUAGCUACGUAGCUAAUCAUUGAUCUUGUCUUGGGUGAAAGGCUGGCGUUUGUUAAUUCAGAUACUGAAAGGUAACCCACACUGACUUUAUUUGUUUACUUUCCUUCUGAAAUCUUAUUUGCUUAGCUUCUAUUGAUGACAUUUCUAAUCUUUUAUCUUCGUCGGUAAACUCAACUGCAUCUCAGUUUUCUGUUCCCAUUUCCUGGAUUGCGGGUCCUGAUGCGCAAGAUUCUUCUGUUUGCUAUGGGUCCUGGACGAUGGCAAGCAUUGACGUGCGUACGCCGUUGCAACAGCCACACCUCAACCCUCCCGACGCACGCAAUAAUCAGCGGUGCCAAAAUGAUUUGGUGUUUGCAAAGGUCGCUUUUGUUGCAUUUUCUGCGUGAGAAACCAUCUCAGGCUAUUUGGAUGCACCUGCACAGUACUGAUAGUACAUGAAAUUCAUCAACCUGCUGUUGCCGCAACCAACCAAAAUUUGCUCUAACAGAGUGAUGAAUACAAUAUGCAUGCUAAGCUUUCUUCAAAUUAUGCUAAUUGAUCUUAAAAAGCUGGCUACUGGUGUUAUUUGCUGCAAUUUAUUUCUGACAGCCAGGUAGUCUUGGAAUGCUUUCGUAAUGCAAUUUAUUUCUGAUAGACAAGCUAUGCUAAUUGAUCUUGAAAAGCUGGCUACUGGUGUUAUCUGCUUUGUGGAAGGCUGUUAGCAUUAAACUUUAGUGCUCGCCUGUUCAUCAUAGUCUCAUUCCCUAGAUAAUUAAUGAGGCAUGAAAAAUAGGUGAAAUUGCAGGAAAAUUGAAGAUGGGAACACGAUUCAUUUUGUCAAUGGGAACAUCUACUGUUACAGAUACACUUUCUGUAUUCUACCUAUCGAUGGUGUAAUGUUUGAAUAUCAAGUCAUUUCUUUUUGUCAUUAGCAGUUGCUUUUAUUUAUGUUCAUAUUCCAAGUAUGCAUGUGCUGCUCCGGUGGUGUUUUAUUAGUUGAUUGGCAUAUAUGGAUCUCUCCAUGUUUAUUAGUUGAUCUCCAACCCCUACUCUGCUGUGGUUCUGUGGGAGCAAGAAGAGCAUGCAUGCUUUCUCUCUACAUCUAGGGUCCAUACGGCCAGAUUGACGGGCCUAAACUCUGGCUCAAAGGUUUCUUUCAAGAAUCAUGAGAGAACAUUCAAGGAGUGGAUUAUUUGGAAAUUAGAACCUUCAGAUUUCUUAGAAGUGAGGUUACUUUCCAACUAGAAUUAUAGGCAAGCAUUGGUCUUUAAUUUGGAAGUGAUUAUCAUGUCUAAGAAGGGAGAUCAACCCGGUUUGGUGUACAUGAUCUUCACUUGGAUUUAUGUGAAUAUAAGCGUAAGAGGUCUAGUGGCAAUGCUACAAAAUCACUGCAGGCGAUAUAAUAACGUUGUAGAUAGACGGAGACUGAAUCAGUUGACACUACUUUGAUGUCUAUCGAGCCAAUGGGACAACAAAGAAAAGAAGAACCGGAAGCAGGUUAUCUAUCUUCACGAGCAAGUUGGCGUCUGUAAACCUUCACCGGAGCCAUUCCAGCUCUUUCAGAGCCACAAGGCAAGGAAGUUGAGGAACCAAGACCCCAACGGUGCAGAGCAGUUUGCCAUCGAGAGGACUAGGGCUGCCAUAAGGGACCUGUAGACCAAGCUCAACAUCUCCCUCGUGCCUCCAUCAACACCGUGUCCUGGAGGGUCGUCGCCGUCCGCGACGACGAGCUACUGCCGCAGCUUUGCCAGCCGCACGGUUAGAGGGAGGCAUCAAGGGCCUGCCACCGCUCCCGGGGCCGAUGUGCGUGUAAUUUCUAUUAAUGUAUCUUAUGUUGCCAAACAACAACAUGCUCCUGUCAAUGCUAUAUCAUUGUGGGCGUGGCAUUUUUCUUCCUCAGGCGAUAUUCCAAUGUACAAUAAGUUCCAUCAAGAAUUGCAUGUACAUGUGCUGCUAUCCUGAUCCAAAAAGGAAAGUAAAAAGGGCGUUCAUCUA